GGAUCGGGAGGCCGUCAUUGGGACGAUGGCCGGGAAUUGAUCGAACCAAGCCCUCUCGGAUGGCCGCGGCGCUGAGCCCCGACAGCGCGCGCG
rfam:Roseovarius sp. A-2 DNA, contig: RA2_contig0004.